AUGAACGCUGGCGGCGUGCCUAACACAUGCAAGUCGAACGGAGAAUUACGCUGAUGAAGCUUCGGCAGAUCUUGUAAAUUCUUAGUGGCGGACGGGUGAGUAACGCGUGGGCAACCUGCCUCAUACUGGGGGAUAACAGCUGGAAACGACUGUUAAUACCGCAUAAGCGCACGGUAUCGCAUGAUACAGUGUGAAAAAACUCCGGUGGUAUGAGAUGGGCCCGCGUCAGAUUAGCCAGUUGGCAGGGUAACGGCCUACCAAAGCGACGAUCUGUAGCCGGCCUGAGAGGGCGGACGGCCACAUUGGGACUGAGACACGGCCCAAACUCCUACGGGAGGCAGCAGUGGGGGAUAUUGCACAAUGGAGGAAACUCUGAUGCAGCGACGCCGCCGUGAGUGAAGAAGUAUUUCGGUAUGUAAAGCUCUAUCAGCAGGGAAGAAAGACUCGUAAGAGAGAUGACGGUACCUGACUAAGAAGCCCCGGCUAACUACGUGCCAGCCGCGGC
rnacentral:rRNA from 1 species